rfam:Ovis aries breed Texel chromosome 3, whole genome shotgun sequence.
UCCAUGAUGGUCCAGUGGUUAGGACCUGGUGCUUUCACUGCUGGGGGCCCGGGAUCAAUUCCUGAUCAGGGAA